rnacentral:rRNA from 1 species
GACGAACGCUGGCGGCGUGCUUAACACAUGCAAGUCGAACGGUGAAGCUCCAGCCUGCUGGAGUGGAUCAGUGGCGAACGGGUGAGUAACACGUGAGCAACCUGCCCCUGACUCUGGAAUAAGCGCUGGAAACGGCGUCUAAUACUGGAUACGAGAAGGGUCCGCAUGGGCACUUUCUGGAAAGUUUUUCGGUUGGGGAUGGGCUCGCGGCCUAUCAGCUUGUUGGUGAGGUAAUGGCUCACCAAGGCGACGACGGGUAGCCGGCCUGAGAGGGCGACCGGCCACACUGGGACUGAGACACGGCCCAGACUCCUACGGGAGGCAGCAGUGGGGAAUAUUGCACAAUGGGCGAAAGCCUGAUGAAGCGACGCCGAGUGAGGGAUGACGGCCUUCGGGUUGUAAACCUCUUUCAGCAGGGAAGAAGCGAAAGUGACGGUACCUGCAGAAGAAGCACCGGCUAACUACGUG